GAAAAUGUGCGCCUUCAAGGUGCCCCUUUAAGGGGAGAAUAGGGAAGUCCGGUGAAAGUCCGGCGCGGACCCGCCACUGUAACGGGAAGCCGCCUUAAAAAAGGCCACUGGGAAACCGGGAAGGCAUAAGGCGGCGAUGAACCGGAGCCAGGAGACCUGCCUUGCAAGGUAGCAGUCC
rnacentral:ncRNA from 1 species